UCACCCGUGAUGUGAUUAAUUAUAUAUAGUAAUAGCUAUUAUCUAAUUCAUAUUGUAGUUUACGUCAGCCGAGAAUUAGAAAAUAUGACUGCUUGUGUUGGGUCAAUCUUUCCUCAGCGCUAGGACAAAUGUAGCCUACAUUUUUCCGGUUAGGAUGAUUGUGUUAUGCUAUAUUUACUUCUGUGAAUAUCUGAACAAUGCAUCCAAAAAUAAACUGCUGACAUUCUGGACAUAACUUUGUAAGGACUGUGUUUGUGUAAAUAGUUUCUGAAAAAAGUGUGGCCAGCUCAAACGCUGAUUGUUGAGUCAUUCGAAACUGCCGUUCUAAACGAGCAUUCUAAAUGAGUGUUCUAAACACACGGGUGUGAUCGUACGCUUCAGGGACCACUGUAGAACGAUCACACCCGUGUGAUGGUACGUGUUUAAUUUCUUUAAACAAUAAAAGCUUAUUUACCAACAUUUCCUUAAAUGGAUAUAUAGCGUUUAGUAAUUCAACUCUUCAUCCCAUCAUGCUCACUCAUUAUGUUUCUACCUCUACCUGCAUGUGGUGCUUAGCAGCAACCUGGGUCUAGCCCUGUCAUCCGGACAGCUGAAGCGGCUGAGAGACAUGGUGGUGAAACAGAGUGGAGCUGGGAAACAUGGCGGCCAGAGUGACAGCUAAUGAGAGCCAGGUGGAGGAUCACUGGAGAGUGAAAAUACAGAAUUCCGGUCCAAGCAGCAGAACUGUCAACCAUGGGAGCCAGAGUGACAGCUAGUGAGAGAGAGGUGGAGGGGCUGAAGAGUGAGAAAACAGGUUUGGAGGCCAGACUCAGUGCCAGUGAGAGCCAGGUGGAGGAGCUGAAAGGAGAGGUGGAGGAGCUGAAAGGAGGGUGGAGGAGCUGAAAGGAGAGGUGGAGGAGCUGAAAGGAGAGGUGGAGGAGCUGAAAGGAGAGGUGGAGGAGCUGAAAGGAGAGGUGGAGGAGCUGCAGAAAGGUGGUGAACCAGAGAGUGGAGAUGAGUCACUAAGACUGAACUGCACUUCCACAAAAACAAGGUGGAGGAACUGGAGAGAGAAAAUGCAGGAAUGGAGGCCAGAGUGACAGCCAGGUGGAGAAGCUGAAGACAGAGAAUGCAGUCCAAGCAGCAGCACUGUCAGCCAUGGGGGCCAGAGUGACAGCCAGUGAGACAGAGGUGGAGGAUCUGACAGAUAAUGCAGGGUUCUUCUUGUGGUACUCCGAGAUGCGGCUCUCCAUGACCGGACGGAAGUGGCGAACCAGACCCUAAACAAGGAAGAGAAGGGUGGAGUGACGGAGAUUUGUCCAUGACGAUGACGGCGGCGGUGCCCAGAGCGGACUCUGCGCGGACGAGGUCAUCAAAAUCCAUCAUGACAUCAUCACACACAGAGCGAGGGAUAAUGGGUGUGGAGGAGCCUCCAGGGAUCACUCCCAGACCUGAGCCCUAGGACCAUGCCCCAGGACUACCUGACAUGAUGACUCCUUGCUGUCCCC